GCCUCCUGACUAACCAUAAGAGGUCAAGCCUGCCCAGUGACAUUGUUCAACGGCCGCGGUAUCCUAACCGUGCGAAGGUAGCGUAAUCACUUGUCUUUUAAAUGGGGACUAGUAUGAACGGCUUCACGAAAGCUACACUGUCUCCUUUAUUUAAUCAGUUAAACUAAUCUCCCCGUGAAGAAGCGGGGAUAUACCUAUAAGACGAGAAGACCCUAUGGAGCUUUAAACACCUUAAAACACUUGAAUUAUAUUCCCUUAACAGACUACAUUAAACCCAUCAUUUUGUUUUAAGUUUUAGGUUGGGGUGACCGCGGAGAAUAAUUUAUCCUCCACAUGGAAAUGAAGCUUCUUUCUAAGCAAAAACCUACAUCUUUAUGCAUCAAAAUAUUUGACCUUAAUUGACCCAAUUACUUGAUCAAUGAACCAAGUUACCCUAGGGAUAACAGCGCAAUCCGCUUUAAGAGCUCCUAUCGACAAGCGGGCUUACGACCUCGAUGUUGGAUCAG
rnacentral:rRNA from 1 species